rnacentral:rRNA from 1 species
CCCAUCCCGAACACGACCGUUAAGCCCUCCAGCGCCGAUGGUACUUGGACCGCAGGGUCCUGGAAGAGUAGGACGUCGCCAGGC